UAUGGAUCUGUUGGAAUCACAGAUAAGAUCUCAACAGGUAUAUGGAAAUCUAUGCCGCUUCCGCUACUGCUAUUACUGCUCGACUGUGUCAUCUUCUUCCUUUUCUUUGCAUUAGCAAGGAAAGUAAUUAGGGAAA